CCUGUUCGAGCGUCAUUUACACCACUCAAGCCUGGCUUGGUAUUGGAGUUCGCACACCAGCGGCCCUUAAAAUCAGUGGCGGUGCCGUCGGGCUCUAAGCGUAGUAAUUUAUCUCGCUAUUGGGUCCGGUGGUUGCUUGCCAACAACCCCCAACUUUUAAGGUUGACCUCGGAUCAGGUAGGGAUACCCGCUGAACUUAA
rnacentral:misc_RNA from 1 species